rnacentral:rRNA from 1 species
GAUGAACGCUGGCGGCGUGCCUAACACAUGCAAGUCGAGCGGACAGACGAGGCUUUUGCUCGGCUGUCGAUUGGGGCGGGCGGGUGAGACACAUGAGUAUACCCUCCCUAUCUGUCUGAUGUCAUCACGGGACAGCGGAUCUAACACGGGAUGAUAUCUUGAACCGUGUGGUUCUUUGGAGAUAGUCGGCUGUGCUGGCUCUAAUAGCGGGUUCCGCGCCGGAUUAGUUAGUUGGUACGGUAACGGCUUACCAAGGCUACGCUGCGUAGACGAACUGAGAGGAUGAUCGGCCACACUGGAACUGAGACACGGUCCAGACGCCUACGGGAGGCAGCAGUAGGGAAUCUUGCGCAAUGGGCGAAAGCCUGACCGAGCAACGCCGCGUGCGUGAUGAAGGUCUUCGGAUCGUAAAACACUGUUAUUAGGGAGGAACAAAAGUGUGAGUAUCUCUGCGCGUCUUGACGGUACCUAAUCAAAAAGCCACGGCUAACUUCGUG